rnacentral:other from 1 species
GUGGCGCUGCAGGACGCGUUAGCAGACACGGAUCCCCGGGGCCAAUACACGACUAUCGGGAGCUGUCCCUGGCGGACUCUUGGGUCCGGCACACGGCGCCCACCUGGACCUUUGGGCCUAGGUGGAUUCAUUUCUCGACGGUCCCUGCGGCGUCACG